rnacentral:lncRNA from 1 species
AUGCUGUGUCACCCAGAUGCCAUGUCACCUGCAUGCUAUGUCACAGCUGCACACAGACACCGUGUCACCCAGGUGGCAUGUCACUCAGAUGCUGUGUCACAGCUGCAUGCAGACACCGUGUCACCCAGAUGCCAUGUCACCUGCAUGCUAUGUCACAGCUACACGCAGAUGCCGUGUCACCCAGGUGGCAUGUCACUCAGAUGCUGUGUCACAGCUGCACACAGACACUGUGUCACCUGGAUGCUGUGUCACCUUGAUGCCAUGUCAACUGCAUGCUGUGUCACAGCUGCACGCAGACACCGUGUCACCCAGGUGACAUGUCGCUCAGAUGCUGUGUCACAGCUGCACGCAGACGCCAUGUCACCCAGACGCCAUGUCACCCAGAUGCCGUAUCACCUGCACGCUAUGUCACAGCUGCACACACACGCCAUGUCACAGCUGCAUGCAGACACCGUGUCAGCUCCACACAGACGCUGUGUCACCCAGAUGCCAUGUCACCUGGAUGCUGUGUCACAGCUACACGCAGACGCCGUGUCACCCAGGUGGCAUGUCACCAGAUGCUGUGUCACAGCUGCACACAGAUGCCGUGUCACCCAGACACUGUGUCACAGCUGCACGCAGACGCCGUGUCACUCAGAUGCCAUGUCACUCAGAUGCUGUGUCACAGCUGCACGCAGACGCCAUGUCACCCAGAUGCCAUGUCACCAGAUGCUGUGUCACAGCUGCACACAGAUGCCGUGUCACCCAGGUGGCAUGUCACCAGAUGCUGUGUCACAGCUGCACACAGAUGCCGUGUCACCCAGACACUGUGUCACAGCUGCACGCAGACGCCGUGUCACUCAGAUGCCAUGUCACUCAGAUGCUGUGUCACAGCUGCACGCAGACGCCGUGUCACCCAGAUGCCAUGUCACUCAGAUGCUGUGUCACAGCUGCAUGCAGACGCCAUGUCAUAGCUCCACACAAAUGCCAUGUCACAGCUUCACACACAUGCUGUGUCAGCUCUACACAGAUGCUGUGUCACCCAAAUGCCAUGUCACCUGGAUGCUGUGUCAUAGCUGCACACAGAUGCUGUGUCACCCAGAUGUCAUGUCACCUGGAUGCUGUGUCAUAGCUGCACACAGAUGCUGUGUCACCCAGAUGCCGUGUCACAGCUGCACGCAGAUGCUGUGUCACCCAGAUGCCGUGUCACCUGGAUGCUGUGUCAUAGCUGCACACAGAUGCUGUGUCACCCAGAUGUCAUGUCACCUGGAUGCUGUGUCAUAG